CCUGAUGCAGCGACGCCGCGUGAGGGAUGACGGCCUUCGGGUUGUAAACCUCUUUCAGUAGGGAAGAAGCGUAAGUGACGGUACCUGCAGAAGAAGCGCCGGCUAACUACAUGCCAGCAGCCGCGGUAAUACGUAGGGCGCAAGCGUUAUCCGGAAUUAUUGGGCGUAAAGAGCUCGUACGCGGUUUGUCGCGUCUGCCGUGAAAGUCCGGGGCUCAACUCCGGAUCUGCGGUGGGUACGGGCAGACUAGAGUGAUGUAGGGGAGACUGGAAUUCCUGGUGUAGCGGUGAAAUGCGCAGAUUUCAAGAGGAACACCGAUGGCGAAGGCAGGUCUCUGGGCAUUAACUGACGCUGAGGAGCGAAAGCAUGGGGAGCGAACAGGAUUAGAUACCCUGGUAGUCCAUGCCGUAAACGUUGGGCACUAGGUGUGGGGGACAUUCCACGUUUUCCGCGCCGUAUCUAACGCAUUAAGUGCCCCGCCUGGGGAGUACGGCCGCAGGGCUAAAACUCAAAGGAAUUGACGGGGGCCCGCACAAGCGGCGGAGCAUGCGGAUUAAUUCGAUGCAACGCGAAUAACCUUACCAAGGCUUGACAUGAACCGGACAGAUCUGGAAACAGGUCCCCC
rnacentral:rRNA from 1 species